UGUUAGAAACAGAAAAACAGCAGGAAUUUCACAGGAUUGGACCAGACUCUCAGCAGCACAAAUCUAGGACGUGUUAGAGACGUGAAAACAGCUCCACGUUUGCAUGGCGCCUUCCUUUGACUCCCACUGACCACAGAAGGCCUCCCUGGCCUUCUGCAGGCAGGUUGGACCCCAUCCCUUCAGCAUUCCUGACUCCGCAGUUCCAGGCC
rnacentral:lncRNA from 1 species